rnacentral:rRNA from 1 species
CAAUAGCGUAUAUUAAAGUUGUUGCAGUUAAAAAGCUCGUAGUUGGAUUUGUGGCGUACGGUGUGUUCCGGGCACUUGUUGUCUGAGUAACCUGCUGCUGCCAUCCUUGGGUGGAACCUGUGUGGCAUUAGGUUGUCGUGCAGGGGAUGCCCAUCAUUUACUGUGAAAAAAUUAGAGUGUUCAAAGCAGGCUUAUGCCGUUGAAUAUAUUAGCAUGGAAUAAUGAGAUAGGACUUUUUUGCUAUUUUGUUGGUUUGCGCAAGAAGGUAAUGAUUAAUAGGGACAGUUGGGGGUAUUCGUAUUCCAUUGUCAGAGGUGAAAUUCUUGGAUUUUUGGAAGACGAACUACUGCGAAAGCAUUUACCAAGGAUGUUUUCAUUAA